rnacentral:rRNA from 1 species
UACGGAGGGUGCAAGCGUUGUCCGGAUUUAUUGGGUUUAAAGGGUGCGUAGGCGGCCCUGCAAGUCCGUGGUGAAAGCCUGCUGCUUAACAGCAGAACUGCCAUGGAUACUACAGGGCCUGAGUCCAGACGAGGUUGGCGGAAUAGAAGGUGUAGCGGUGAAAUGCAUAGAUACCUUCUAGAACCCCGAUUGCGUAGGCAGCUGACUAGGCUGGUACUGACGCUGAGGCACGAAAGCGUGGGGAGCAAACAGG